AAGUCGUAACAAGGUUUCCGUAGGUGAACCUGCGGAAGGAUCAUUAACACGUGAUUUCUCACGUUUUAUCCAAAGUAGUGAACCGUUUCCUACUGUUGACAUCAAGGGGUGAGCACGGAAUGGUGUGAGUGUAACAGCUCUUAGUGCUUGCCUUGAACGUUCGCGUUGUCUGUGUGGAGGCGUAAUAGUCUUGCAUCAUCCUCUAGCGUUCAAACUUGGUCGUCGAUGGUAGGCUGAAAGUUUCGGCUGUGUGGCCCGCACCUUGGCUUUGCAGUUCGGAGCGCUUUAACUAUUUACUGUGUAAUUUUUAUCUGAUUAUGUACGAUCUUUUGAAUUCCGAGUGCAUUUUCACAGAUGUGCUUGUUGAGUUUGAUUGAGAGUCACCAAACUUAAUACGAAACAACUCUUAGCAACGGAUAUCUUGGUUCUC
rnacentral:misc_RNA from 1 species